rnacentral:rRNA from 1 species
GAGUUUGAUCCUGGCUCAGAUUGAACGCUGGCGGCAGGCCUAACACAUGCAAGUCGAGCGGAAACGGCAGUAUUGAAGCUUCGGUGGAUUUACUGGACGUCGAGCGGCGGACGGGUGAGUAACGGCUGGGAACCUGCCCUGACGAGGGGGAUAACCGUUGGAAACGACGGCUAAUACCGCAUAAUGUCUUAGAUUCAUUAGAGCUGGGACCAAAGGUGGCCUCUACAUGUAAGCUAUCGCGUUGGGAUGGGCCCAGUUAGGAUUAGCUAGUUGGUAAGGUAAUGGCUUACCAAGGCAACGAUCCUUAGCUGGUUUGAGAGGAUGAUCAGCCACACUGGGACUGAGACACGGCCCAGACUCCUACGGGAGGCAGCAGUGGGGAAUAUUGCACAAUGGGGGAGACCCUGAUGCAGCCAUGCCGCGUGUGUGAAGAAGGCCUUCGGGUUGUAAAGCACUUUCAGCAGUGAGGAAGGUCGUGUACUUAAUACGUGCACGGCUUGACGUUAGCUGCAGAAGAAGCACCGGCUAACUCCGUGCCAGCAGCCGCGGUAAUACGGAGGGUGCGAGCGUUAAUCGGAAUUACUGGGCGUAAAGCGCAUGCAGGCGGUUUGUUAAGUCAGAUGUGAAAGCCCGGGGCUCAACCUCGGAACCGCAUUUGAAACUGGCAGGCUAGAGUCUUGUAGAGGGGGGUAGAAUUUCAGGUGUAGCGGUGAAAUGCGUAGAGAUCUGAAGGAAUACCAGUGGCGAAGGCGGCCCCCUGGACAAAGACUGACGCUCAGAUGCGAAAGCGUGGGUAGCAAACAGGAUUAGAUACCCUGGUAGUCCACGCCGUAAACGCUGUCUACUUGGAGGUUGAGGUUUUAGACUUUGGCUUUCGGAGCUAACGCAUUAAGUAGACCGCCUGGGGAGUACGGCCGCAAGGUUAAAACUCAAAUGAAUUGACGGGGGNCCGCACAAGCGGUGGAGCAUGUGGUUUAAUUCGAUGCAACGCGAAGAACCUUACCUACUCUUGACAUCCAGCGAAGCCUUUAGAGAUAGAGGUGUGCCUUCGGGAGCGCUGAGACAGGUGCUGCAUGGCUGUCGUCAGCUCGUGUUGUGAAAUGUUGGGUUAAGUCCCGCAACGAGCGCAACCCUUAUCCUUGUUUGCCAGCACNUAAUGGUGGGAACUCCAGGGAGACUGCCGGUGAUAAACCGGAGGAAGGUGGGGACGACGUCAAGUCAUCAUGGCCCUUACGAGUAGGGCUACACACGUGCUACAAUGGCAGAUACAGAGGGCAGCGAGACAGCGAUGUUUAGCGAAUCCCUUAAAGUUUGUCGUAGUCCGGAUUGGAGUCUGCAACUCGACUCCAUGAAGUCGGAAUCGCUAGUAAUCGUGGAUCAGAAUGCCACGGUGAAUACGUUCCCGGGCCUUGUACACACCGCCCGUCACACCAUGGGAGUGGGCUGCACCAGAAGUAGAUAGCUUAACCUUCGGGAGGGCGUUUA